AAGAUGAACGGGACUAAGCGAUCUGUCGAAGCUGUGGGAUGUAAAAAUACAUCGGUAGGGGAGUGUUCCGCCUCAGAGGGAAGCACCGGUGCAAGCAGGUGUGGAUGAAGCGAAAGCGAGAAUGUUGGCUUGAGUAACACAAACAUUGGUCAGAAUCCAAUGCCCCGAAAACCUAAGGGUUCCUCCGCAAGGUUCAUCCACGAAGGGUGAGUCAAGGCCUAAGAUCAGGCCGAAAGGCGUAGUCGAUGGACAAUAGGUUAAUAUUCCUGUACUACCCCUUCUUGGUCCCGAGGGACGGACGAGUCUAGGUUAGCCGAAAGAUGGUUAUCGGUUCAAGGAUGCAAGGUGACCCUUCUUUUUUCAGGGUAAGAAGGGGUAGAGAAAAUGCCUCGAGCCAAUGUCUGAGUACCAAGCACUACAGCGCUGAAAUAACCCAUGCCAUACUCCCAGGAAAAGCUCGAACGACCUUUAACAAACGGGUACCCGUACCUGAAACCGACACAGGUAGGUAGGUAGAGAAUACCUAGGGGCAUGAGGCAACUCUCUCUAAAGAACUCAACAAAAUAGCCCCGUAACUUCAGGAGAAGGGGUGCCUCCUUAGGAGGUCGCAGUGACCAGGGUCGGGUGAUUGUUUACCAAAAACACAGGUCUCCACAAAGUCGUAAGACCAUGUAUGGGGGCUAACACCUGUCCAGUGCCGAAAGGUUAAGGAAGUUGGUGACCUGAUGACGGGGAAGCCCGCGACCGAAGCCCCGAUGAACAGCGGAUGUAACUAUAACGGUCCUAAGGUAGCGAAAUUCCUUGUCGGGUAAGUUCCGACCCGCAUGAAAGGCGUAAUGAUCUGGGCACUGUCUUGAAGAGAGACUCGGUGAAAUAGACAUGUCUGUGAAGAUGUGGACUACCUGCACCUAGACAGAAAGACCCUAUGAAGCUUUACUAUUCCCUGGGAUUGUCUUUGGGUCAUAGGGUAUCUGACUAGUCCUAUUGGCUAGUCUCAAGAUAGGGUAUCUGACUAGUCCUAUUGGCUAGUCUCAAGAAGGUGUUCCCGGUAAAACAAUCAUAACUUAUUCCUAGAGUAUCCAAAUUGGGUGGGACUGGUUGCAUUGGAUCGUGGACAGUCUGUAGUAUUUUGGGUGCGAGUUUCAGAAUUUUAUA
rnacentral:ncRNA from 1 species